rnacentral:rRNA from 1 species
AGUGGCGAACGGGUGAGUAACACGUGAGUAACCUGCCCUUGACUCUGGGAUAAGCCUGGGAAACUGGGUCUAAUACCGGAUAUGACUCCUCAUCGCAUGGUGGGGGGUGGAAAGCUUUUGUGGUUUUGGAUGGACUCGCGGCCUAUCAGCUUGUUGGUGGGGUAAUGGCCUACCAAGGCGACGACGGGUAGCCGGCCUGAGAGGGUGACCGGCCACACUGGGACUGAGACACGGCCCAGACUCCUACGGGAGGCAGCAGUGGGGAAUAUUGCACAAUGGGCGCAAGCCUGAUGCAGCGACGCCGCGUGAGGGAUGACGGCCUUCGGGUUGUAAACCUCUUUCAGUAGGGAAGAAGCCUUUCGGGGUGACGGUACUUGCAGAAGAAGCGCCGGCUAACUACGUGCCAGCAGCCGCGGUAAUACGUAGGGCGCAAGCGUUAUCCGGAAUUAUUGGGCGUAAAGAGCUCGUAGGCGGUUUGUCGCGUCUGCUGUGAAAGACCGGGGCUCAAC